GACGAACGCUGGCGGCGUGCUUAACACAUGCAAGUCGAACGGUAAGGCCCUUCGGGGUACACGAGUGGCGAACGGGUGAGUAACACGUGGGUGAUCUGCCCCGCACUUCGGGAUAAGCCUGGGAAACUGGGUCUAAUACCGGAUAGGACCACUGCCUGCAUGGGUGGUGGUGGAAAGCUUUUGCGGGGUGGGAUGGGCCCGCUGCCUAUCAGCUUGUUGGUGGGGUGAUGGCCUACCAAGGCGACGACGGAUAGCCGGCCUGAGGGGGUGAACUGCCACACUGGGAGUGAGAGACGAGCCAGACUCCUACGGGAGGCAGCAGUAGGGAAUGAUGCACGAUGGGGGCAAGCCUGAUGCAGCGACGCCGCGUGAGGGAUGACGGCCUUCGGGUUGUAAACCUCUUUCAGCACCGACGAAGCGCAAGUGACGGUAGGUGCAGAAGAAGGACCGGCCAACUACGUGCCAGCCGCCGCAGUAACAC
rnacentral:rRNA from 1 species